GACGAACGCUGGCGGCGUGCCUAAUACAUGCAAGUCGAACGCUUCUUUCCUCCCGAGUGCUUGCACUCAAUUGGAAAGAGGAGUGGCGGACGGGUGAGUAACACGUGGGUAACCUACCCAUCAGAGGGGGAUAACACUUGGAAACAGGUGCUAAUACCGCAUAACAGUUUAUGCCGCAUGGCAUAAGAGUGAAAGGCGCUUUCGGGUGUCGUUGAUGGAUGGACCCGCGGUGCAUUAGCUAGUUGGGGAGGUAACGGCUCACCAAGGCCACGAUGCAUAGCCGACCUGAGAGGGUGAUCGGCCACACUGGGACUGAGACACGGCCCAGACUCCUACGGGAGGCAGCAGUAGGGAAUCUUCGGCAAUGGACGAAAGUCUGACCGAGCAACGCCGCGUGAGUGAAGAAGGUUUUCGGAUCGUAAAACUCUGUUGUUAGAGAAGAACAAGGACGUUAGUAACUGAACGUCCCCUGACGGUAUCUAACCAGAAAGCCACGGCUAACUACGUG
rnacentral:rRNA from 1 species